GACGAACGCUGGCGGCGUGCUUAACACAUGCAAGUCGAACGGUGAAGCCUUCGGGUGGAUCAGUGGCGAACGGGUGAGUAACACGUGAGCAAUCUGCCCUUGACUCUGGGAUAACUUCGGGAAACCGGAGCUAAUACCGGAUAUGACAUCUGGCCGCAUGGUCUGGGUGUGGAAAGAUUUAUCGGUCAAGGAUGAGCUCGCGGCCUAUCAGCUUGUUGGUGGGGAAUGGCCCACCAAGGCGACGACGGGUAGCCGGCCUGAGAGGGCGACCGGCCACACUGGGACUGAGACACGGCCCAGACUCCUACGGGAGGCAGCAGUGGGGAAUAUUGCGCAAUGGGCGGAAGCCUGACGCAGCGACGCCGCGUGAGGGAUGAA
rnacentral:rRNA from 1 species